UAUUAUCACAAAAUAGUGAAAUUAGGACGAUACAGUGAAGAUUAGUAUGACCUUCAAAUAAGGAUGACAUGAACAAAUUGAGAAAUGAUCUAAAUCUUU